UACGUAGGGGGCAAGCGUUGUCCGGAUUUAUUGGGCGUAAAGAGCGUGUAGGCGGCCGUACAGGUCAGCUGUGAAAACUCGAGGCUCAACCUCGAGACGUCGGUUGAAACCGUACGGCUAGAGUCCGGAAGAGGAGAGUGGAAUUCCCGGUGUAGCGGUGAAAUGCGCAGAUAUCGGGAAGAACACCCGUGGCGAAGGCGGGUUGCUGGGCCGACACUGACGCUGAUGCGCGAAAGCCAGGGGAGCGAACGGG
rnacentral:rRNA from 1 species